rnacentral:rRNA from 1 species
GACGAACGCUGGCGGCAUGCCUAAUACAUGCAAGUCGGACGCAGUUGCGAACGGUUGAGUAACGCGUAGGUAACUACAUAUUAGAGGGGGAUGACUAUUGGAAACGAUAACGAAUACCGCAUACUAGUAGAUGGACCUGCGUUGUAUUAGCUAGUAGGUAGGGUAAUGGCCUCCCUAGGGAACGAUACAUAGCCGAGCUGGGAGGGUGAUCGGCCAAACGGGGACUGGGACACGGCUCAGAACCCUACGGGAUGCAGCAGUAGGGAAUCUUCGGACAAGGGGGGAAACCUGACCGCGGAACGGCGCGGGAUUGAAGAAGGUUUUCCGAUCGUAAAGGUAGGUUGUUAAGGAAGCGGUACUUAACCAGAAAGGAACGGCUAACUACGUGCCAGCAGCCGCGGUAAUUC